UGACUGGGGCACUAUCUGCACUGGAGCUCCAGUGGGAGGAGCAAUGGGCGGAGCUAGAAAUGACAAACAGGAAGUAAAAGGUUUGGGUGUGUGGCCCCAGGAAUAAUGGCAGUGACUAAAAAUUGCUGACAAACACAGGCGGCUCACCUUCUGCGAUGUUGACAGUGAAAGGACUCUUGGGGAUCUCCUGGCCGGCGAACAUUAUGUGGAUGGAUCCUCCACAUACACCAGGACCUCACCACUUCCUGCUUCCAGAGUCUCCACGGUGAACACCGCUGGCUUCAGUACCAUGUUUCCAUGAGGCUCAAUUCCUGGAUAGAAAGUAUUUAUAUACCAUCCAUAUGAACAAGAAAUGCCAUUAGUUUUAUUUUUUUCUUGGUCAGCAAUUACUCAAACAAAACAAGCAGUGUGUUUGUGGGGCUUAACAAGCCUUGCAAGCCUGAUGACCUCAUUAUCAUUGCAAGAGUUUUGAGGCUAUGGCACAACUGCAUAACUUUAAUUUUUUUUUUCAGUCGAGAUAUGAGGAAAAAUAGCAUAAUUAUCUGCGGAUACAAAACAUGGCCCCUUGUUGACAAACUAUCUCCAUAUCUAAGUUACAUGAGAUACUGAACAACCAUUGUGUCAACUGCCCAAUAUAGACCUGAUAAAGAAUGUUUAAGUCAAAAUAAAACUCAGGCUGCAUAAAGUCACUGUUGUAAA